GGAGAAGUAAGUUAAGGCUUAAACUACGUGAUUCAUGCUUACGAAAUAUGUACCACAUCUUCUCUU
rnacentral:tRNA from 1 species